rnacentral:rRNA from 1 species
GACGAACGCUGGCGGCGUGCUUAACACAUGCAAGUCGAACGGAAAGGCCCUGCUUUUGUGGGGUGCUCGAGUGGCGAACGGGUGAGUAACACGUGAGUAACCUGCCCUUGACUUUGGGAUAACUUCAGGAAACUGGGGCUAAUACCGGAUAGGAGCUCCUGCUGCAUGGUGGGGGUUGGAAAGUUUCGGCGGUUGGGGAUGGACUCGCGGCUUAUCAGCUUGUUGGUGGGGUAGUGGCUUACCAAGGCUUUGACGGGUAGCUGGCCUGAGAGGGUGACCGGCCACAUUGGGACUGAGAUACGGCCCAGACUCCUACGGGAGGCAGCAGUGGGGAAUAUUGCACAAUGGGCGGAAGCCUGAUGCAGCAACGCCGCGUGCGGGAUGACGGCCUUCGGGUUGUAAACCGCUUUCGCCUGUGACGAAGCGUGAGUGACGGUAAUGGGUAAAGAAGCACCGGCUAACUAUGUG